UCGGCUGCCUUUUUCCCUUCAUACGCCGAGAGCUCACACAGCCAGGAAUCCGCUCACGGAGCGUCCGAAUUAAAGAGGGUCCUCCGCAUUUCAGCCGAUCGCCCUCGAUCGCCUUCACUCCGCGAAUUAAAAGGGAAGUGCACCGGGAAGCCGCGCCGCUUUGUUUGCGUUCUGCAGACGCCCCAAAGAAAUCUCGCUUUGCUUGUUUUUUUUUUAAGCCCUGGAAGUAUUAUUUUUUUCCCAACACGGGGACGUGUUGUGUAGCUACGUGAAGAGCGACCUUGACUUUAGUAGACAUGUGCGCGAGACAAGACUGUCCGCCGAAGAGCCUCCUCGCGGUUCUGCUCCUCGCCGCCGCCGUGGCCAAAAUCCACGGACAAGGUCCAAAGGAAAGCAGCAGCAGCAGCAUCAAUGAGAGGAUGCCGUUCACGCACUCAUCAACGCAGGACGCCGAGAUGGAAGUGGUCACCACGGCGUCGCCGGUGAACAUGCCCAACCACCAGCCGGUGCUCAAGGGUCUGCUGCUCCACGAGCACAUACUCACAAAGAACUUCCAGGGGGACCAGCACUUUUUCAGGCGGGACGGCUCUGUGGCUGUGUUCCCCACCGCGCCGGGCUCGGCGGCGCUGUCCGACGCCACGGAGUCCGUCACUCGCUUAGUCCCGCACGAGGACGCGCCGGCGUUCUCGGACAUCGCCACCACAGCCACGGCGGCGGCCACCUCCCCGCUGACCACAUUCUUGCCCACGACACCGAGGCCGCCCUUGUCUUACGCUCAGAAGAAGUCCUCUAAAGACAGGACCAGGGGUCCAGACAAGGCGGAGCCGACGACAGACUCCCUCACCACGCAGAUGGUGCCGAAAAGCAGAGGUUCAGGGGGCGAAAGCAGCCCAGCGGCUGCCUCAGCAUCACAGAGGAGUCGAGCUCAGAGCCGGGUUGCCACGGCGACCACGCUAGCAUCAGAGAGGACGGAGAAGGGCGGGGGCAGCGAUGCCCCGGUGAAGAACAAAACCAAUCUAACUGAAGUCACCACCACAGCGUCCACAACCGUUAUCACAACCACCACCAUCACCGUCACACAAACAUCAGAGCCGUGCGGACUGAAUUUCACCGACCCCGAGGGGACCGUCGAAAUCCUGCAGCAUCCCGAGUCUGGCGUGGAGUGUAACUACUUGGUUACUGUGUAUCUGGGAUACGGCAUCGAGGUCCAGGUGCUGAAUGUGAGCGUGCUGGAGGGAGAGCAGGUGACGGUGGAGGACACCGGUGGCAGAGAGCCCUUCAUCCUCGCCAACGAGUCGGUCCUGAUGAGGGGCCUCGUGCUCCGCAGCUGGAGCAACCAGAUCUCCAUCCGCUUCCGCACUGACCAACAGCACAACUCCGGGUUCCUGCUGCUGCGUUACCAAGCCUUCGUGCUGAGCUGCGCGUUCCCCAAAGAGCCUGCUGGCGGCGAGGUCUCCGUGACGCACCUCCACGCCGGCGGAGAGGCCUACUUCAGCUGCUUCACCGGCUACAAGCUGCAGGGCGCCGGCAUGCUCACCUGCCGCAACGCCACCACGCCGUACUGGAGCGGGAAGGAGCCUCGAUGCGUGGCCGCUUGUGGGGGGAUGAUAAAAAAUGCCACCUACGGUCGAAUCGUCUCUCCCGGUUUCCCCGGCAACUACAGCAACAACCUGACGUGCCACUGGGUCCUGGAGGCCCCCGAAGGCCACCGGCUCCACAUUCACUUUGAGAAGGUGGCGCUGGCAGAGGACGACGACAGGCUGCUGAUUAAAAAUGGCAACAACAUAGACUCCCCGCCUGUGUACGACUCCUACGAGGUGGAGUAUCUGCCCAACGAGGGCGUGCUCAGCACCGGGCGCUACCUGUUCCUGGAGUUCACCACGGACGGGACCGUCACCUCCACCGGCGCCGCCGUCAGAUACGAAGCCUUCGCCAAGGGCGCGUGCUACGAGCCGUUCGUGAAGUACGGCAACUUCAGCAGCAGCGACGCCACCUACAGCCUGGGCGCCGUGGUGGAGUUCUCGUGCGACCCGGGCUACACGCUGGAGCAGGGCUCGGUGGUGAUCGAGUGCGUGGACGCGCAGAACCCGCAGUGGAACGAGACGGAGCCGGCCUGCAGGGCUGUGUGCAGCGGGGAGAUCACAGACUCCGCCGGCGUGGUGCUGUCUCCAAACUGGCCCGAGGCCUAUGACAAGGGGCAGGACUGCAUCUGGGGCAUCCAUGUGGAAGAAGACAAGCGGAUCAUGCUUGACAUCCAAGUCCUCCAUCUGGGCAAGAAUGACCUUUUGACCUUCUACGACGGCGACGACCUCACAGCCAACAUCCUGGGCCAGUACAGCGGCGCGCGGCCCCACUUCAAGCUCUACACGUCUAUGGCUGACGUCACCAUCCAGUUCCAGUCGGACCCCGCCACCAACAUAUACGGCUACAACAACGGCUUCGUGGUCCACUUCUUCGAGGUGCCCAGGAACGACACGUGCCCCGAGCUGCCGGAGAUCAUUAACGGCUGGAAGAGCACGUCCCACCCCGAUCUCAUCCACGGCACGGUUAUCACCUACCAGUGCUACCCGGGGUUCGAGCUGGUGGGCUCCGAGAUCCUCAUGUGCCAGUGGGACCUCAGUUGGAGCGGCGACGUGCCCAGAUGCGAGGAAGUGAUGACCUGUCAGGACCCCGGCAACGUGGCGCACAGUCGCAAGGUGAUCGCGGGCACCCGCUUCAACGUGGGCUCCACCGUGCAGUUCAUCUGCAACAAAGGCUACCAGCUCUCCGGCAACAGCCUGCUGACCUGCUACAACCGGGACGCGGCCGCGCCCAAGUGGAGCGAGAGGCUGCCCAAGUGUGUCCCCGAGAAGUACGAGCCGUGCAGGAACCCCGGCGCCGCCUCCACCAGCGUGCCGGCCUCCGAGAAGGCCUCGUACCAGGCGGGGGAGAUGCUCACCUUCUCCUGCCAGCCGGGCUACGAGCUGCAGGGGGGCGCCACCAUCUACUGCAUGCCCGGACACCCGUCGCAGUGGAACAGCACGCCCCCCGCCUGCAGAGCCGCUUCAGCCAAGUAUGUGGACGAGCGCAGGCUGGAUGUUAUUAAUAGGGAUUAUGACAUGGAGGGAACCAAUAUUGCCCUUGCAGUGUUUAUCCCAGCUGCAGUCAUCUUGGUAGUUGUCCUUGGGAUUUAUCUCUAUUUCGCAAAGCUACAAGGGAAGUCUAUCCGAAUGCCGACAUCUUUGCCACCGUAUGACAACAUGACGGAAGAGUCGGCGUUCGACAACCCGGUAUACGAGAGUGGACAGAGGGCACCCUUCGCCUCCUCUUUCCCUCCGCAUGUAUCAUCAGUAGGAGCUGCUGGUCUCUGCUGAUGAUGUUGCAUGUAACCUACAAAUAAAGGACACUUUCAUCCAUCUCACUCCAAAGGACAAAUGAAAAGAUUAAGAGGUGUCCACUUAGAGACCUUAAAGCAAGAAUUGCUCAAGCUUUGCCUUUUUGGGACCCUCUCUGCACUGCUCAACCUUUUUCUUUUAGACUGCCCCCCCCUCCUUUUUUUCAGAUUUUCCUUUCUGUGUGGAUCAUUGUAAAUAUGUCCUUCUUUCCAUGGUCAAAUCUGUGAAUCUGUGGGUCACCAUGGUGAUAUUUUUCUAAAGUAAAUUGCCGAUGACCGUUGGAGAUUGUACGUUUUUGAGCCCGUAGCAAUUAGAGAUCAAGGGAAGCGGCGCGUCGAUUGUUGGAUACAAAAUCCCCACCGCCCGAUAUUGUUUGGACAAUUUGCCAUUGUUCCUUUUUUUUUCUUUGUGUGUCUGGGUCGGCUAUUUGUAAAUAAACUGCCUGUCCAAUAUGAGUGCCUCACAAAUGACUAUAACCUGAGAAUUCAUAUGUGAAAAUGUUUGUAAAUCCUUCAUCUAACUAUUUUUUUGUAUGUGUGGACCUGGCAUCCUUCACUCUCCACACUCUGUUCAGUAUUUACCAUCUAACACACCAAACGCUGGCGCUUCAAGAAGCAGUAACAUACGAACCCAGAUAUUUUCCUAUUAGCUGAUUUGUGGUUCUGGCUCGUUAUUGCCGCAGAGGAUUAUUAUGGGACUCAUGAGCUUCGCAUUACUUGUUCUUUGUUCAGUCACACUGUAAAGUCUGCCUCAAAGAAUGAGUAGCAUCUAGAUCAUUUGUGUACGUCCAGGAACGCGGGUGCGCCCCGACAUUUGCAGACGAAAAGAUAAAAUCCAGUCAACGCACUGAUGACAACACAAACACACUGAUCAGCCGGAGUAAAAUCACGACGUUCACAUGGAUUUUUUUCUUGCGCUCACACUGUCGAGGUGCAUCUGCUGCUACUGUAGUAGAUUGUAGAUAAAUGUCAUAGCCUUUGUGCAUAAUCUUUACCUUUACGAAUAUUUUUUUCACGACCACCGUCUGGGGCGACUGCACCCGGGAAACCAAAUCGACUUCAAGUAUAUAUACAGUAAUCCUCCUCUGAUUAAUAAUAAAAUAAAAUGUU